GCUACCUUUCUGUGCUCAUCUGAUGGGAUAGACUAGCAGGCUCAGCAAUACAUAUUUCAUGAGCACGCCACCAUAUGAUAACAGCACAGACAAAAAGUACAAGCCCUGUAGCAUAAAAGCAGUGCCUUGUAAAACAUAAAUAAAUCUAAAUGAUAGGUUCCUUAUAGCCUAAAGCACUGCAGAAUCUGUCAUUGCUUUUUAUAGCUGUCUAAAUUCACUACUACUACUAUAAAGAUUUUGACACACUUGUUUUUGGUCUAGUAUUUUUUCAGAAGAGGGUCACAAUGAGCCUGGAAUCUGUCCUAGGAACCACAGAGCAUACCAGACAUGGUUUCCUACAAGUACUCCGGUUUCCUCACACAGUCCACAGACUUUUCCAGAAAAUUACGUUUUUUUUAAAAAACAAAAAAAUGUUUUCACUACCAUUUUAUGUGUCCUGCAGUUUAUCUUAAAUUAUUUGUUUGUUCAGCAAUAUAAACUUAAAUGUGAAACCUGACGUAUGUGUGUUAUAUCUGUUAAAAUCCAUUUUGCUCACUUGCCUCUGUUUUGUGUUACCUGUCCAGCUUUUUUUUCCUUGUCACCUAAUCCAGGACAUUAAUAGUUGUCUUCAGACAGGAGGUUUUUCUGGGCCAGAUUAGUUUCACAGGCGUUUAGACGCUUCUGCUCCCUUCUGAGUAAAGAUGCUGUGAGCUGCUCCUGGUGUUUUUUGGCACAUUUUCGUUUUCUUUUUUGUUUGUGUGUCUCUUGUCCUGUAGGAUGCAAGUUGCUUGCCAUUUGAUCUGGAAUAACCAUCUUUGCUUGUUGUUCUUCAGUGUAGUUAUAUUUUGCAGCAUGAUAAAUCACUUCAGGGAAUAGUGUGUACUCCCUAAUUGGAAAUGCUCAAGUAGAACGUCUUAGUGCUACUGAGUGAGCACCUUACGUUAUGCAGUUUAAAAGCACUGUUGUUCCUGUGAUUCACAAGGUUUGAAGGCUGUCAAUGUACUGUAUGUUUGCAUAUGAGACAUAUGAGGACUGAAAUGUCGAAUGCAUUUCCAUGCAGGUGGGUGUUUUUUUUUGGGAAAGGCCAGAGCUGUAACAGGAACUGAUAGGGACAAGUUUUGACACACCCUCUAGAGGUAAUUUCAUCUGGUUACCUGUUUAUCCUCAUUCCCCACGGUCGGAUCUCCUGGGUUAUUAUCAUCACGGAGUUUCCAUAUCAGCACAUGGAAACACACACGCAAACACACACAGGAACUGCUUGUCUUCCAAACAUGCUGCUGCCGUGAAGUCUACUGCA